rnacentral:lncRNA from 1 species
ACAAAGAAAGAUUAUCUUUAUAAUCAAAUAUGCCAAACUACGAUCAACCAUCAUCUUUCCUAAUUAAUCAAUCAACUAUACAACGAAAUCAAUUUCAAAAUUAAUCCAUCUACACGAACUGAAACAAGGCAAGUGACAAUUUUUUACACAAUAAUGAAUCAAACUAAUACACCAAUUAAUCCUCUACAAAGAAAGACUAUCUCCGUGAUCUCUUUCUUCUUGUGAGGGUCCUACGCAGCAAAUCCAUGAAGGACAAUUUUACAGUUUAACAAUGUGUCGAUGCUGUGGACCGUUGUCGGUGGCGAGGUAGGAGACACAUCGCUGGUGGCAAGGUAAUAGUGAGUGAGGGGACUCACGAAGUUUACAAGAUUCAGA